rnacentral:rRNA from 1 species
AUUGAACGCUGGCGGCAGGCCUAGCACAUGCAAGUCGAGCGGAUGAAGGGAGCUUGCUCCUGGAUUCAGCGGCGGACGGGUGAGUAAUGCCUAGGAAUCUGCCUGGUAGUGGGGGAUAACGUCCGGAAACGGGCGCUAAUACCGCAUACGUCCUGAGGGAGAAAGUGGGGGAUCUUCGGACCUCACGCUAUCAGAUGAGCCUAGGUCGGAUUAGCUAGUUGGUGGGGUAAAGGCCUACCAAGGCGACGAUCCGUAACUGGUCUGAGUGGAUGAUCAGUCACACUGGAACUGAGACACGGUCCAGACUCCUACGGGAGGCAGCAGUGGGGAAUAUUGGACAAUGGGCGAAAGCCUGAUCCAGCCAUGCCGCGUGUGUGAAGAAGGUCUUCGGAUUGUAAAGCACUUUAAGUUGGGAGGAAGGGCAGUAAGUUAAAACCUUGCUGUUUUGACGUUACCAACAGAAUAAGCACCGGCUAACUUCGUG